CAUUGAAACACCUUUUCCCAUACAAUCACCAAAGUUAAGCAUCAUUGAAGCCUGGUCAGUACCUAUGUGGGUAACAGCUUGGGAAUACCAGGUGGUGUA